AGAGUUUGAUCCUGGCUCAGGAUGAACGCUAGCUACAGGCUUAACACAUGCAAGUCGAGGGGCAGCGGGAUUGAAGCUUGCUUCAAUUGCCGGCGACCGGCGCACGGGUGAGUAACGCGUAUCCAACCUUCCGUACACUCAGGGAUAGCCUUUCGAAAGAAAGAUUAAUACCUGAUGGUAUCUUAAGCACACAUGUAAUUAAGAUUAAAGAUUUAUCGGUGUACGAUGGGGAUGCGUUCCAUUAGGUAGUAGGCGGGGUAACGGCCCACCUAGCCAACGAUGGAUAGGGGUUCUGAGAGGAAGGUCCCCCACAUUGGAACUGAGACACGGUCCAAACUCCUACGGGAGGCAGCAGUGAGGAAUAUUGGUCAAUGGACGAGAGUCUGAACCAGCCAAGUAGCGUGAAGGAUGAAGGUCCUACGGAUUGUAAACUUCUUUUAUAAGGGAAUAAACCCUCCCACGUGUGGGAGCUUGUAUGUACCUUAUGAAUAAGCAUCGGCUAACUCCGUGCCAGCAGCCGCGGUAAUACGGAGGAUGCGAGCGUUAUCCGGAUUUAUUGGGUUUAAAGGGAGCGCAGACGGGUCGUUAAGUCAGCUGUGAAAGUUUGGGGCUCAACCUUAAAAUUGCAGUUGAUACUGGCGUCCUUGAGUGCGGUUGAGGUGUGCGGAAUUCGUGGUGUAGCGGUGAAAUGCUUAGAUAUCACGAAGAACUCCGAUUGCGAAGGCAGCACACUAAUCCGUAACUGACGUUCAUGCUCGAAAGUGUGGGUAUCAAACAGGAUUAGAUACCCUGGUAGUCCACACGGUAAACGAUGGAUACUCGCUGUUGGCGAUAUACUGUCAGCGGCUUAGCGAAAGCGUUAAGUAUCCCACCUGGGGAGUACGCCGGCAACGGUGAAACUCAAAGGAAUUGACGGGGGCCCGCACAAGCGGAGGAACAUGUG
rnacentral:rRNA from 1 species